rnacentral:rRNA from 1 species
GAUGAACGCUGGCGGCGUGCCUAAUACAUGCAAGUCGAGCGAACGGACGAGAAGCUUGCUUCUCUGAUGUUAGCGGCGGACGGGUGAGUAACACGUGUAUAACCUACCUAUAAGACUGGGAUAACUUCGGGAAACCGGAGCUAAUACCGGAUAAUAUUUUGAACCGCAUGGUUCAAAAGUGAAAGACGGUCUUGCUGGCACUUAUAGAUGGAUCCGCGCUGCAUUAGCUAGUUGGUAAGGUAACGGCUUACCAAGGCAACGAUGCAUAGCCGACCUGAGAGGGUGAUCGGCCACACUGGAACGGAGACACGGUCCAGACUCCUACGGGAGGCAGCAGUAGGGAAUGUUACGCAAUGGGCGAAAGCAUGACGGAGCAACGGCGCGUGAGUGAUGACGGUCUUCGGAUCGUAAAACUCUGUUAUUAGGGAAGAACAUAUGUGUAAGUAACUGUGCACAUCUUGACGGUACCUAAUCAGAAAGCCACGGCUAACUACGUG